ACCACGACAUCCACACAAACUCCAAAAGGAACCAUCCAGUAGAUUGAAACCAGGGUUUUCUAAGAAUGUGCUUUAUAUCAAUUUGCAGAUGUUGUUUUUCAGUAUUUUCUCAUCACAGGUACUCCAUCUCGACAGAUGCCCUGCCUUAUCAAGAUUAGAUCCCGUGCCUUUGAAAGAUCCCAUCAAAUACCAUGGAGAGUGGUACCAUGAACAAUGCUGGAUAUCGCCACUGGAAAUUGCUGCUUGCUUUACUGGUGAAGUUUUAAAUUCUCAUGAUCUCAUCCCUACCACUGUAUACAAAAGAGAGUCUCUGAAAAGGUGUCCUAUUUAUGAAGAAAUGGAUAGCGUCUACUUGAGAGGUUUUCUCUUCAGAUGGAAGAAUUAAUCUCUCACAUAAACAUUUGUAAAUACACCAUAUUAACGCUAAGAUCACUAAGACUUAGAAGAACUUGACGUUUAUCUAUGUUUCCCCAAUUAUAGCAUUUUUUGGAGGUGAUAAAUGAGACCAGUAUGAUUAUCUGGGCCUCAGAGAGCAAUGUGGCAGGAAAUGUAAGUAUUACUUAAAUAUCCAGUAGAUAUUUUUUAACUACAAUACUGCUGAGC